UGCUGCUUGGCGGCGGCGAUGGCGGCCGGGAUGGAGCCCCCGAACCACAUCAUGGUGACCGCCGGGCUCCGAAGCCGCGACAGCCCCACUGCGCAUGCGCCGCGACCGCCGCUCCGCCGCGCCAACCUCCCGUCACGCGCCUGCGCCGGAGGCCCGAGCCCCGCCUUCUGAUUGGCGCCCGCGGGCACCGCGUGCCCUCCCUUGGUCGCGCGCUCGAUGGCGGCAGAUUCACCUCAGCCUGUGGGGGCGACGGGCGCCAUGUUGGGCUCUUCGCGCUUUGCCUCCGGGCGGUUUGUACCGCUCUGUUCGGGGGUGCGUCGGGCUCGAGGGGGCUCUGAAGCACCGCUACCCUGUGGUUGCCGAAAGGAAAAGGGGCCUGCGCACACGUGGUGUGUGGUGAGGGGCUGUGCGGGCAGGGGAGACACAGCUCACUCGGGAAGGCCAGGGCUGCGUGACGAGAAGCUGACAGAAAGUGGUGCUCUGUGGAAAAGAAGCGAACGUGGCUUACACGGGGCCUCCAGGCUCACUGCGAGAAGAUGAGCGCAGCCGAGCCGUGAGGCAGCGCUGCUCAGGGACGUGCCUUAGAAAGCACGAUUCUCUACAAUUCCUACACCACUUCAAACAAGAAAGAAUUCCGUUGAAGCAUACCAAGGGGAGGGCCCACUGACGUCCGGAUUGGUAACUUCUGUGAGGGCGUGCUCUUUGUACAGCCGGGUCACUGGGCUGCGGCAGUUGCAACGCCUCGAGGGCUCCUGGAGCAAAGUCCCUGAGAAGCUGCAAAUAGAGCGUUUGUAGAGCCGGACGGGGAUCAGGCCGGGCUGGUUGCACGGUGAAGAACCCCAGAGGACAGAAAGCAGCACGUGGAUUAAGGUCCCUGAAUUUACUGCCCUGCAAUCACCAACUUCCCACUCCACUGAGACGUCCCAGUAUGCACUGGGUUGUUGAUGUCAGUAACAUCACUGAUCGGCGCUGGAGCCGGGAAUCUGCCUAUGAGGAAAAGGUAAGUUUGGUUUUAUUCAACAUGGAGCAGAUCUCCAAGGUUUUCUUUCUAAAUUCUUAUUUUAUAUCCGAAGUGAUUUAAAAUAAGAAUACUGAAAACAUUAAGACUCUUCUUGUCUGCAGGUUGGAUGAAAUGCCUGCUAAUUAGUAACUAUGCCUACAUGGGGCUUCCAGAGGCCAAUUAAAAAAAAGCGAUAAUCAAUUAAAAAAUAACAAGAAACCAUAUUUUAAAAGUUCUUAUUCCACACUUGUAUGUGUGAAGCUUCAGUCUAGGGAUGCCGGUAGAUGCAAAGAUAACGGAUUUGAAAUGUAUGCCUUUGUAAUUAAUUUCUGAUAGAGUAUGUAGAGCCAAACCAAAAACAAAUACAAAAAGAUUAAAGUUUAUCUAACGUAUAUUCAGGCCCUAUAUAAUUUUCUAAUAACUUCCAAGAGGGAAACUAUCUGCUUAAGUAAAAUUUCAGCAUGGUAUGUUGUUUCAGUUCUACUGACUCUUAAAUUAGGGUGGAUAAUAAAAUUUUAUUCCUUCAAAGCUGCACAGAGUCUACGAUGAGGAUGCAGGAGCUGUGAACUCCUAUUUUCAUGCUCAUGUCAGAGUACUUAAAGAAAAACGUGCCAUGCAAAUUUAUUAAGUUAAAGCUAGAAAGUAGGUAACACAAAAGUUAAAUAUAAUCAACACAUGAGCCCUUCAUCUUUCUGUGGUGAGAGAAGGAGACAGAGCAAGUGCAGAAUACAGAAUAGCUGGGUCUUGAGAACAAAACUGUCAACUAUGCAUGGAAUUCGGUGAUCCUCUGAUUUUUUCUAGUGGUUUCUCCAAGAACUCCCCAGCCAACACAAUAAAGUAGCAUGCAGAGUUGUUAACCUGGUUGAUACUUCCACUGUUUGCCUUCCUUGCUACAUUUACUUUGUGAGCCUGCAAGAUUUGCAGGCAGAGUUAUUCCAACAACAGAUUUCAAAGCCUGAGUUUUUGCAGUAGAUUUUUACAGUACAAAAACCAAAGCAAGUCUUUUCCCCUCUGUUCACCCUAUCAGAACUUGGCCCUGUUCUACGAUACGGGCUGGUCCUGCUUUGAUCCAAAUGAAAGGAGGUACUUGAAGCCGGUAUCAAUCUUUAAACAGACAAUAGUUGAUGUAAGUUCAUAUUUUAUGGAAACAGUUCAUAGGGCACCUCUGUGAGAAAAGCAACAAGAACUCUUAACAUACAGACAGCAUACUUUUUCACUGCUAAAUCUUUAAACGUGCAACAGAUCACAUUAUUACAUAACAAUCAGAACACUUCUCCUUACUGCAUGCUUCCCAAUGAACGGACAAACCCCUACUGCUGCAGAUGCAGCAUUAUUGCAUAAUAUAUCCCAAGAGAAUGUAUGUACCAUAAAGUUUUUCCAAGACUUUUACACUUACAUUCUUGUAUUGCUAGUUUUAUUUACUAUGACUGACUUCCCACUCUGGUCCACGUUGUGCUCUAAUCCAAAGUAAGCAGCUACCCUGUGCAACAGCAUUCUAUGAUAAGAUGUCAUUGGGGGAAACUUUUUUCUUGGAGCUCUGGAAGAAAGGAAUAGUAGCUUUAUUAAAUAAACAUGAACACUCUUGUUUUUUUUUUCUCCUAUAAGAGUACAGUACUUACUCAUUAUUACCAAUGAAAUCUAAAAUUUCCUGUUCUAAUUUCAGCAGCAUCAUUCUGUCCCUGAAAAUAAAAACACAGCAACUCACAUAUGAGACACUCCAAUAACUCCAGCUGUAUUCAUCUUAAGAAUACACAGAUAGUAUCUAUGAUCAAGGAAUGAUGAAAGACUGUAAACAGGACCAUCAAGUGUCUAAUACAGUAUUUAUUAAUCAUAGUACAAAGAGCCUGCAAGUAAUCUCUUCCUGGUACUAUCAAUAGAAAGUACAGUCAUCAAGAAGGCUCAAGAAGGGAAGAGUGACUAGGUUGGUUCUUGUUGGUCAGCAUGGGUAGCAAGAUUUGCAGAGGCCUCAACUGCCCCAUGAACUGUGAAUCAUAGGAUCACAGAGAAACAGAUUGAGUAAGGUGCUGGUAACAAAAGGCAUUCCUACAACAUACUUACAACUGAGUAGUUAAUAGCUGGCACACACUGCAAUGUGAUAAGAUGUUAAGAGAAUAUAACAAACUAAAACUGAAGGUGAAUGAAAUGAGUAUUAGCUGAAACACCAUAAAAUAAUCUUAAAAACGCAUAUGCCAAUUUCAAUGUCUUAUUAGCAUACAAUGAAACUAACUGUCAAAAGGUCACUGUUUGCACACAUCAGUUAAUAUGAUAGCAGGUAAACCCUCAGCAAGCCUUUGACUAUAAAUUUCUUAUUUUCACUGGGAUGAUUUAUGACUUCCAGGAGGGACAAAGUAAGGGACUAAUACAGGCCUAUGCGUUCUAAUUUUUCUAAUGUCUUCUCUAUUGGACAAAAUGUAUCGGUCCAUUAUGAUAAUCUUUUCUCUUUUGUUCCCUCCCCCACUCCUCCAACAAAAUGGAAUAUCAAUACAUUGUCACAUUGUAAAUCAUAACUAUAAUAUAAGCAACUAACAAAUAACAGGAAUAUCUUUCACAAGAGCACUACAAUUCCACUAAGCUCAUCUCUCGCCUUGUAUGUUAAGCCACAGAUGUAGUAUUAAACUCUUGAGGGAAAGAACAAACCAGAGCGUACUGCAAAUUUCAAAGCAGCAGAAUCACAUUAACUUUCCUAACAAAUGAUGAACUUCGAUUAGGUCAGAUUUGGUUUCUGACAUGUAGAUUGAAGGUGCCUAUAGCUCAUAUAUUAGGUACUAAAAGAAGCUGUCUAUAAAUUCAGCACAGGACAGGUUAAAGUGAAAGAAGGCAAUCUGGUAUCUAACAAGCAGAUGCUAAAUGAGUACAAAUUUUAAGGAGUGUUAGAGUCUCUUCAGAUAGAGCUGCACACAGACAGAACUCAUUAUUUGCUCAUUAAACACGAAAAGCAUUUACAGCAGGUCAAGGUCCUGAACCUGUGUUCAUAUAACACACAAACUACACUGGAUUGGUGUUUCAGAUAGUCUUCACAACAAAAUCUCAUCCUAAGUAACUGAUGUAAUGGGAAACAUUUAGAGGAAGAAAAUAAAAUAACAACAACAACAAUAAUAAUGAAAACCAAAACAAACAAACACUAACAAAACAUGGUGCUAUACCAAAGACAGAAAAACUGCAAGUUGAUUUUGCUGAUGCUUACCUGGGAUUGUUUUUUAACGUAUUUACUAAAAAUUCAUGAAGAUCUAUACCAGUGGAAUCUGUGUACUCUUGGCUGGAAUCUAAAGGUAGGGUGGAACAGAACAGAAUUACAUUUUGGAAAAAAACAAAACAAAACAACAAAACACCAAACCUAUCUUUUUCCCAAUUAUUGAUGAACGCUGCAUUUAUGGGUCAAUACUGUUUAACUCGUAGACACGUUGCAACAGUUGCAAUUUCCAGAGAAAAGGUUUGAAGUAAAAAAGAAAAACACCAAAGCUGAAAAACGCUGUCUCGCUGAAUUCUCCAAUUCAAGCAUAACACAACAGGCAAAAGCUUCAGUAACACUGUCUGUCUUAUUAACAAACUGCUUACAUUCUGAAGGAGUACAUUAUCAUCUUGAGUCAUCUCAUUUCCACCGACUCCCCAAAUUUUCUCCAACAUACUACACUGCACUGUUGUAUACACUUUCAUGGACCAGUAGCUGAUAUACAGAAAGACUGGAGGUUGCCCAAAGAAAUACUGUAAUUCAGCAUGUAACAGUUUAGCCUUCACUAUUGUUAUUCUGUAGUAUUAACAUUUUAUUGGUCUUGCUUUCCACAACAUAACAUUUAGGAAUUUCCCACAGCCUUCUGUCUUGUUCUGGGUUCAGAACAAGAAUAAAACAUUUUCUAAUAACAAUUUGUGUCACUGAAGUACUUCAACAACAAACCUUCCCUUUCAGCAGCACAUUCCAGAGUUACAGAUCUCAGAAUUAUAAGCUAGAGAUGGUUUAAUAAUUUUGGAACUGGAUUUCUUUCAAGAACUACACAAGUGUCAACCUGUGCCCAAGGUAGGCACAGCUCAAACUUAGGUGCCUCAGCCCUUGCUGUUCUAGGCCUUUUUCUGCUUAGUAUGGAGCAUAGUCCUGGCAAAUUAGCUUCUACUAGCAACAGAGGAGGGGACUACUGCACUAAGGAGCACAAGAUUCAUUGGACACAGAAUCUAAGCAGGCUUUUUUUUUUUUUAAUAAAGAAGCAAGAGCACAAUUUUUUUGUUUUCAUUUUUAGAAGGUGGGCACACACUACAAAGGUUGAGCAAGAUAGCUCUAACGCAACACAUUUGUUUCGUAAGGCAUCAUCUUGAAGACUGACGUUUAUAAAUGCAGCCAAGUUCUGCACCCUGGUGCUUUUUGUUUCAUGAAUGCCUGGUUGCCAGCUGGGAGGACAAGAUGUACAGAAACGUCACAUGAAGAAGGCCUCAUGGAAUUGAGAAAGAGACAAGACAGACAAGUUCUAGCAGUCUCAGGAGAAGAAUACUAGGUUUAAAGAUAUUUCCUACAUAUUGGUUGAUACAAGAUGCCUAGAUAUGACUUCUGUCUCCUUUAUUUAAAGCAAGAGCUGCUCAGUGAAUUGCCAACGUAUAUGCGAUAAAUGUGGCAAAAGAGAACAUGGACAGAGGUGGUGAUCAUUAAUUUCCGCAGUUCUAUUCCAGGUAGAAUAGACCUUCAAUCCAGACUGCAGGAAUAUUAACAUGCACGCAUCAUAUUUGUCAUGCUAACUUACUGAGUUCAAUCCUUACUCCGAAGGAUUUUUAUAAUCUAGAUGCCAGCAAAAGUACGUGUGUGAAUGACCAUAUAGUCAGGUGAACAAGAUACAGUGAAAUAUUAAUCAUUAACAUGUGCAAAAAUCCCCUGUGGUUCCUGCAAACAGAGCGUUCUUAGACAGAGGAACUCUGAAGAAACGAACUUUCAGUCAUCACAAAGCAACGUAUUUUUUUACAUUUCAAAACUCUUCCCUAAGACUUUUCCUCGCAAAAAAGUCAGACAAGAUCAUUAAUAAAUUCUGAAAACAGUGAUAAAAAAUACAAAUUAAAAGCAGAAUGAUGGAUAGCAAACCUCUUGAUAACAUUUUUCUGUGCAAUUUAUCACUGGACUUCUCCUUUUCCGUUUCAUCUUUUGCAGGCUUUUCUUCUUUUUCACAACACUGUGACAACUGGAUUUGAAUUUUCUCCUGUCAAAAGUAAAAGUCAGUCAUCAUGGAAAUUACUUCAGACAAUAUAUAUCUGCAGCAGAACUUUCUGCACUAUGUCACCUGCAAAAAUGAAGUAGUAACAAGGAAAGUAACUGUCUUCUUUUUCUUUCUGAUUGCACAUAUACUCUAGCCAAACAAAAUGAAGUUACUUACUAGCAAAUCAAAAACUAUUGAGAAGACACAGAAAGUAAUAUAUAUUUUAGAAUUUAGAUGCAUUUCCAGGCUCUGAAUGCUAUUUCAAAGUGAAUCUAACAUAUCUUGAGACAAAGAAAAUUCCAGUUUUCAGAGAAAUUUUAUAUACCUAUGUUUUUAGGUAGUGUGCAUCAUCUACAUUUCCCCCUCCAUUACAGAAUAAAAUGAAUACUUCAAUCUCUAAGACGGACAGCAUUACCAGAUUCACACACACAAAGAUAAAAUAUUUAGAGUAGAGAAUACCAAGGCUAAAUUUGCAAACCUUAAAACAAUCAAGGUUUAGAUUCCUCUUGUGUACUUUGACAAUGUAGCUGUGCAUGCAGUCAUCUCAAAACCGCACGUUUCUAUACAAUAUAGGUGAACUAUCGUGAAACCCAUUUCCCAGGUUGAGGAAAACAGAGCUUUCCUUUUAAAUUCAAGCGACAUAAUGGUUCCCUAACAAGUGGAAAAGUAAGAUCUUGUUCUUUGCGCCUCCUGUCUUUAACUAAACUACUAAUGAAGGACUAUCAUAUCUCAGCAAAAACAUAGUAAGAUGAGAUAAAUGGAGACAAAUUCUUUAUUGGAGUGGUGCCAAGAGGUGGACCACCAAUCCUGAUCUGUAAUAGCACCUCCCCAUUCCUUUUACCUGGAAGCUUCUCAAACAUCUGUUUUGCUUCCCCAGAGGUAACUGAGUUUAUGCUGUUACCCAUCCCCCAUUGUAGAAGAUCCAAUUCUUCCCAACCCAGCUCACAGAGCUGCCCCACAACUAUGUGCCUACCACUCUCCUAUCCUGCAAACAUAGUCAGAAUUUACCAAAGCUAAAGACUGUUCCACAUGCAAACAGCUCUCUGCACAACCUCCACUAACACAAAUUAUUUGUCACUAUAAUGUUAACAGUGACUGCUCACCUAGCAGCUAUGCAACUGCUACUUGAAAAAACACAUGGUGACUGUCAUAUUAAGAAAUUAAUUGUGCCUCAGGUCUACCAACGCAACAUGCUAUUCUUCAUUUUACAACAAUACAUGACAAAAUUAAGUAAAUUAAGAAGAUUUUUCAUAGUCUGAUUUUCUCUUAUUCGAUCUUUGAUUGGAUAGGUUUAGAGUAUAUAGCCAAAGUUCUUAAAAAAAUCAUAUAGCAAGAGUUCAGUCAAAGGAUUUCAGAGCAAGUCAUCAUUUUUAUGCUUCUUUCUGCAACAAGAGCUAAAAAAGGAGAGCCAUCUGAACAGCCAAUUCUACUACCACAAAUUCUACUUCAAAGUGUGACACAGAACUGCGUACCAAAGGGCAUUUUCUUGUGAUUUCAUGCUUUAAAACCUGUAGCAUCUAAUUAAGCAUGACCUACUUCAUGGGAAAGCCACUGAAAAAUAUUUUAGCUUCUGUUCCUUAGAAUUUUCAUUUAAUCCCACUGUAGUGAUAGCCGGUCUCUGCCAGCACACUGAUUUAACAGACUCCUUAUUGUAAAGCAAACGACCUUCCAAUCUCAAACCCUCAUUGCAGCAGCAUGAAUUAUCACCAAAUUUUGACUUAAAAAAAAGCCAAAAAGCCAAAACAAAGCAAAAAAACAAACAAACAAACCAACCAAAACCAUCAAAAUCUGAAAAAUUUCUCCAGUUUAAUACACUUGAAUGAAGAGAUAAGAGUCAAGAAGCAUUACAGAGCAGUUACUCAAAGGAUCUACGUUCUGGGUUCUCAGCUUUCACCAGCACUCUCUAAAAUCAGCCACAAUCUGAAUUUACACACAUCAAUUUAAACCAUCAUUACAGACUCGUUGUUUGUUUGUUGAUUGUCAUCUUUUGUUUUCAUUUUUCCCACUUCGGGUUGUUUCAUUUUGUUACAGAAGUUCCAUCUUUUAAAGAUCAAUUAGCUCAUUACCCACAUCAAUGUCAAGGACACAAAACCAGUUUUUUCUUAUUAAGAGCUGAAAUUAAUCAUCCUGAACUAGUAUUCAUACUUCGUAUAUCAGAGCGUACAGAAUCACAACAAUCCCAGCAGCUAAACUUAGACAAAGGAUGGCAAAAGAAUAAAGAAUCAGUGUAUUACAAAGGUAAAAUAAGCUGCAUAUAUCGCAGAGUGCUAAGGAGAGAUUCUCACAAGACAUUGCAACAAGCGUCACCUGAAGAGAAUGCUUACUAUGAGAGUCUGUGAUUUUAAACCAUGAAAUAUAUGGCGUCAUAUAGUGCAAGAGUUCUAAAAAGUCCUGAUGACUUAUGUUUGAAAUAUGCUGUGGAUGAACAGCUCAUCAAAUGAGGAUUCUCUCCUGUUGGAAUAAGAUGCAGUGACACAGCUAAGCCCUAUUGCUUCCACCCUGAUCUCCUAGUCAGUUUUGGUAGCCUUACAGGAAACAUUACAGGAUGAUAAAUCACAGUACAUGGCAUCCAUUUUUCUACUGUCUUUUCAUCUCUUACUCCACACACUGUACUACUGUUCUUAAGAAUUGGAUUUUUUAUUAAAUUAGCCGGCCCAGUUUCAAAAUUUCUCUUCAAAUUAACUCUUCAAGUACGUUAUGGAAGGACUGGGAAAAACACUGUUUUCUCAGUUCCAAGAACAAAACCUACACAGAGACUUUGUGGCUCGUCCUUAUGAUGUUUAAUUAGUUUGAGUUCUCACACUCUCUCACUCUCCAAAACUGAACGGAUCUCCCACAGCAACAACUUUUCACCCACUCCUACUGGUUCCCUUUGCUUGUUACAGAAAGGGUGACUUUUCACAAAGAUAGUUCAGAAGCUUUUCAAAUAACAGCAAAAGAAGCCAAUUUGCUUUAUGAGGAAGACAUGAAGAAUCGUUUAACUUUUGUUAGGAGUGAAGACAAGAGCAGCACGAAAAUCAUUUCAGUGCCCAUCUUCCAUACCCAAACUAGGACUGGUAAUAGUAUUGCACUCUAAGGAUACAGAUAAAGUCAGAGAAGUUGGACUUUAAAGCAUUUUAUGUAUUUUUGUCCAGUAUUUAGGAUUUUCUUUGAGGAUAUUUUAAAAUUAGUCUUCAGCAAUACCUCAGGCAUGCGUUAAGAGAACCACCAGCAAUUAUUAAUAACAUGCAUAAGUUCACUCAAAACACCAAAAUUUAAAACUGCUUAAAUCAUCUAAAUAUAAAGCUGUUAAAUUAUGCUGCACAUCAACCACACUGUUUUUCUAGCUGUCUUAAUGAAGGCACACAGCAUUAACUACCACGCACCCUGUAAUGCUGACAGAACUAACAAAGCCACCCUCUUUGCAUUCCCUGACACCAGUCACUGUAGUUCAGAAGAUUCAGAAGCAGCAGAUUCUUUACCAGCUAUCGCCAUCUCUAUUCAAGCUGUACUGAUAUACAUGUUUUUAAAAUUAAAUAUGCUAUCUACAUAUUUAAAGAGCACCCAAAAGACUUUCUUUUGAAUAGUAAGUUACUUCAAAUUGUUUCAGAAACUUCAGUAAUGCGACUUUUACCUGGAGGUCCUGUGAUAUUUCAGCUGUAGGAGGUGGUGGAUAUUCUUCACAUACAGCAAGGCUCCGAACUAACUUUAACUUUGUGUUUGACUAAAGGAAAGUAUGUAAAAUUAAAAACUAUGGCUUAUCAAAGUUCUAUAAAGAUACCAGAAGCUGUUAUUUUUCCCAUUCAAGUUAUGUAAAACAAAUUGGCUGAGAACAGCAUUUUUAAUCUUUUCAAUAAAUUACUUCCUUUAGGAAGAAAAUACCAAAGCAAUCGCAGUUUUGAAGGCACUAUCAAGCACAACAGAGCACAUCUAAUGGAAAGUAAAUAAAAUCUUUGGGAAAGUGUUUCUGUCCACAACAAUAAAAAGCCACCAAAAAUAUAAAGGCAAACCACAAAAGCAGACAACUAGGCAAGACAAAAAAAUCCAACAGAAUAAAACAAAGCUUCAUCGCCAGAAAAGAAAGGGCAAAACUAAAGACACCGUUCACAACGUAACAAGGCUUCAUAUCAAGCACGGAGGGCUUCCUCAGCAUGCCAGCACACAAGUCUACUGUACCUUCGACCUUUUUGCUGUCUGUCCAAAAGCCUGCACUGGCCGCUGAAUGAUAGGCACAACAGAAAAGGUUUAUAUUAAACUUAAUAGUUCAACUUAUUCACGUAAAAGUCUGCAUAACAAAGUUUUAACAGUUAUUACUGAUGUGAUGGUCAAGACCAUGAAAGCAACAGCAGGUGCUUUUGGCUGAAGGACUGUAUGCUUUCCCUUCUCCAAUGUGCUUGUUCUCAAGUUCUCUUUCUUCAUUUAUACCAAGUUAUUUAUAAAAAAGAUACAACAGAAGAAAUCUAACAAAUAGUAAGCAUUAAUCUCACUCAGUAAGAUCCAUGUAGUUUAAACUCCCUGCUAUCUCCUGCAUUUAAAAUUCUCAUGUCCCAAUUUCUUCGGUAGCAUGAGUUUGUUUGUAAAAAUGUUCCUCCUAUUCCUGAAACCUAUGUGGAAAAAUGAUGGUAUGAAGAGGGAAGAAGAAAAGAAAAAAGCCUCUACAGGGCAAUUAAUAUAUGUUCUAACUGUUAUUUAAUUUAUAUCUUAUAGAUAAUUAAAAGAUUAGGAGCGAUAAAGAACAACUUUAAAAUGGGUUGCUGAUCAAAAGUUUUGCUUUAGUUAAGUAGUUCACUAUCCAUGAACACGCUCUCUUCUGAGAUUCCUUCUCUUAUUAAUAGUAUCUUUUGAAAAAGAACAUUACCACAAUCGUAGGACAGUAUGCAUCACUGAAAUGUACAUUCAAAGCAUAGAGCAUUUGACAGGUUUUUACCUGCCAAGUUUGAACAAACUCCUGUGAUAGCUACGCAGGGAUACAGGCACUCACCGUGCUGUAACAUAGUUCAAGUACUGGUUUCACUACAGAACUCAAACUGAUGAAUAUAAAGGCCUUUAAUAGAUAUGGUUUCACUAAGAGUAAGCCUAAUAUUUGUAUGUGAAAAAUAACAUUUGUAAUACUGUUUCAGAUCUUGUUUAACAGACAACAUUCCCUUUUUUAUGAAAAACUAUGAAAGAACAGCUAUUUUCUGUCACUUUCCUCAAGUAUCAAGUGUCUUUUUUGCCCCAGCUUCAGUGAAGAGCAGAAGGGCUGCUCAUUUAAAUAUUACUCAUUUCGCUGUGUAAAGGACUCUUAAUAGCUGCACUGAAAACAAACUGAACUGCUACCUCUGAGAUUUUGAGCAAAGACACUUCAGCUUUUCCCAUACCUUCAACAAUAGAGACAGCCUUGUUGGUGUCUGAAAAACAUUCUGUCCUUCUAUCAGCUCUGCUGUAAGUAUGCAUAGUUCACUGAAAGCUGGCACUUUGUAUAUCCCGAGCAAAGUUUGCAUCAUAUCAAGCUACUGAGCUUUAAGAAUGGGAUGUUUCCCAACCUUUAUCAAUUAAUCCUGCACCAAUUACCCUAGAUGAGUUCAAAUAUAGGGUACUGAGUGUAGUAAAGGAAAGUAUUUGAAUUCUUUGCUGCUUAGCUUCAUGAACAUGUGACAAUUCUUAGGGACAAUCCAGUAGCAGUCACGCUGGGGAGAGCUGGGGAUAGGGGCACCACAGGAGGGAGACCUUCUGAUGUCUGAAAUGAAUCCAACCUCAGAGUUGCACAUGAGAUGAAUGUCAUCGCACCCAUCAUAAUAAGACCUGUUAUCUAGCAACCAAUCUUUUUAUGCCUUGUAAAACAAUUCUUUAACAGGCCUCAAUUCCUUGCUUUCCUGCAUAAUUUCAAGAAUAUCAAAACCUGAAGUACAAGCCCCCACAUCCAGCUGUAACUGUGAGGAAUAAGUACCAGAUUAGAUUUGGUAUGGCUGAAUUGUAUGGACAACUCGUUUGAGAAAAGGUCUAUGCUGCAAGGUCUCUGCCUGGAAAUACAAAACCAGAAGUCAUGGGACAUAAACAGUAACUUCACUCGUGAAACUUUAAGAUGAUUGGACCCAGAUCCUUACUUGCACAAAACCAGAGCAGCGGAGAAUAACUACAUUUCCAUUGGAGUUCCAGGACAGGACCAUGUGGUAGCUCCAUGAAUUUUAGUUCUGCUACAAUUCCUCUAUUUGCUAAGUUUUGCUCCUAUACUGCACCUUUACAUCCUCAUUUGUAAAAAACAAACAUUUUUUAGCUGCUUCAGAGCUUUAGAGUAUCUAAUCCGUAGUGAGUUGAGCAACUUCUUUAAAUUUGCAACUCUGAAGGAGUUUUACCAACCUGAGAAAAUGCUGUGUUAGUGAAAUUAAGAUUAAAAAUAUAUUCAUGCCCCAUAAUUAGUAAUUUUGGGCAUGAUAUCAAGGCACUUUAAAAGCAACACUUACAAAAAAAAAAUUUCAUAGUGAAAACAUUGAUCAGGUUUUUGUCUUAAAGAAAAAACUGUUAAGAAAAAGUACUAUGCUUCAUUUCCAACUGAUUAACACAAUGAAAUCAGCAAAAUAAAAAUGGAAGUUAAGAUAGCAACAUUAACAUGCCUUUCUCUGUCAUUCUGUGCUAUAAAGAAACUGGAUAAAAUCAGGCACAGGUCAGGCACAAAAAGGCAAACAGGGCCAUGAAAAAUCUUGAGAAAAGGUCUGUGUAUUUCUGGUUUACUGCUUGGACACCCCAGAGGACAGACGUGACUCAUGGCAGUCCUGAACAAAAGAGGUUUUCACCUUUCUACUAAACUAGACUGAUUUUAAAACCACUUAAGUGUUAGAGUCCUACCUAACAACUGUACGUAGCUUUGCAAUGAUAGAAAAAACAGCAUGAUCUAUGGCUCCUUGCUGUCCUGUACUGAUGAGCACUGACAGCAAUUUCCCAUGACACAGCAGAGGAUGACUAACGAUCAAAAUUGGAAAAAUAAUUUCACCACUGGCCACAAAAGCAUUUUCAACAGUUCAGAAGCUGAACAGAAUCUAUCCAAUCAUGGGCCUAUUAAAAAUCAGUAAGUCACAUUCUGGAAACAAAGACAGGUAAAUACUGAAGAGACCAAAAUAGCUGAGAAUGAGGCAAAGAAAGGCUUCAGAGAACUCAGCUGUGGAACAGAGAAACAAAAAGGUCUGUGCCACUCUUACACUGCUUACACUAAUGAGACAGUUUUCAUAUUCCCAUUGUAUAUGACAGCAAAUUGGUGACUGGUGCACAACGUCUCAAAAUAAUCUAGAAUUUAGUCAAAGCUGCAUGUCAAAAUACAAUGACCUGUUACUCAAACUACAGAGACCCAGAAGCAUACGAGCUGUGACAGGUUUCGACAGAGGAACAACUGUAGCUGGUUUCUUACUUGAUUGUAAAGAAAUUAAAAUGCAACUUAGAAAGUAAGCGUAUAACAUACAUAUUUGCACAAUCAGCUACCAUAGUACAAGUGACAUUAACUUUCAUGGACUACAGUUACACACAUCUGUGAAGCCCUACACUGACCAGGCUCCACUUCACAACUGACUGUCUCCCUACCACUCCUGAAAUCAACGCUCUCAGACAACGAGCUCAAUUUUUAACUAUACCAUUCAUGUAAUGAGAGUGUUCUGGUUCUGAUGGAGACUCCUGGACACAACAUUCAUGUUAAUAUUAAAUGAAAAAGACAGCAGAACUGUCUGCAUCAAAAAGAUGUUUUCUUUACAUAGCUGUACAGCUCCUGGUGGUAUGCUACAUAAUUAUCUCUGCCACCAGAUAUUACUCCCACACAACAACAAAAUCAACCAGCAAAACCCCUGCCAAAGAAUCCAGAGCUAAAAGCAAAGCCCGUAGCCAUAGACAGUUUCAUUUCCCUGUGCAGGAACGCCUGUUUGCAGGAAGGCAAUCUGCCACUUGAGCCUCAUAAGCUUCUACACUACUUGUUGAAUGAGAAAACGUGAAUGAGAUUCUUCCAAGUUACUGAAUUGCUGGAAAAGAAACCAUACACAUUCAUUUUUCAUGAUGACUACUGGGAUAUUCCAUUGAUUAAAGAGAUUACCAGCUCAGCUCUAAUAUCUACCCAUGUUUCAGUAGUUGUUUCUCAUAUGUUACAGGCAAAGUACUUCAUUUUAAGGACUUGUUUUUUCCAUAAAGCUAUCUGUUUGCACUGAUACCAGCUUUAAUAAAGUCAGAAGAUAUUAAAGAGUAGAACUGUGUUAUUACAGUAGUUGACAAGAUUCAUUUGGAAGCAAUUUAAACUAGCAGAUAAAGGUUACUUCACUCAGCAGAAUAUUGAAUUGCUACUCAAGAACAAAGCUAGUCCCAAAAGAAAGUUUUAUUCAAUUCUCAAUAACAAGAAUCUAAUAAGCCACUCUCCUGUUUUUGCAACCCACAAAAGAAUACUGGCAUAUUCCAUACCCUGAUCACAAU